rnacentral:rRNA from 1 species
CUGCAUGGCUGUCGUCAGCUCGUGUCGUGAGAUGUUGGGUUAAGUCCCGUAACGAGCGCAACCCUUGUCCUUAGUUACCAGCACGUUAUGGUGGGCACUCUAAGGAGACUGCCGGUGACAAACCGGAGGAAGGUGGAGAUGACGUCAAGUCAUCAUGGCCCUUACGGCCUGGGCUACACACGUGCUACAAUGGUCGGUACAAAGGGUUGCCAAGCCGCGAGGUGGAGCUAAUCCCAUAAAACCGAUCGUAGUCCGGAUCGCAGUCUGCAACUCGACUGCGUGAAGUCGGAAUCGCUAGUAAUCGUGAAUCAGAAUGUCACGGUGAAUACGUUCCCGGGCCUU